rnacentral:rRNA from 1 species
GACGAACGCUGGCGGCGUGCUUAACACAUGCAAGUCGAACGGAAAGGCCCUGCUUUUGUGGGGUGCUCGAGUGGCGAACGGGUGAGUAACACGUGAGUAACCUGCCCUUGACUUUGGGAUAACUUCAGGAAACUGGGGCUAAUACCGGAUAGGAGCUCCUGCUGCAUGGUGGGGGUUGGAAAGUUUCGGCGGUUGGGGAUGGACUCGCGGCUUAUCAGCUUGUUGGUGGGGUAGUGGCUUACCAAGGCUUUGACGGGUAGCCGGCCUGAGAGGGUGACCGGCCACAGUGGGACUGAGAUACGGCCGAGACUCCUACGGGAGGCAGCAGUGGGGAAUAUUGCACAAUGGGCGGAAGCCUGAUGCAGCAACGCCGCGUGCGGGAUGACGGCCUUCGGGUUGUAAACCGCUUUCGCCUGUGACGAAGCGUGAGUGACGGUAAGGGGUAAAGAAGCACCGGAUAACUACG